rnacentral:rRNA from 1 species
CGGGACACGUGGUAUCCUGUCUGAAUAUGGGGGGACCAUCCUCCAAGGCUAAAUACUCCUGACUGACCGAUAGUGAACCAGUACCGUGAGGGAAAGGCGAAAAGAACCCCGGCGAGGGGAGUGAAAAAGAACCUGAAACCGUGUACGUACAAGCAGUGGGAGCACAGAGCAAUCUGUGUGACUGCGUACCUUUUGUAUAAUGGGUCAGCGACUUAUAUUCUGUAGCAAGGUUAACCGAAUAGGGGAGCCGAAGGGAAACCGAGUCUUAACUGGGCGUUAAGUUGCAGGGUAUAGACCCGAAACCCGGUGAUCUAGCCAUGGGCAGGUUGAAGGUUGGGUAACACUAACUGGAGGACCGAACCGACUAAUGUUGAAAAAUUAGCGGAUGACUUGUGGCUGGGGGUGAAAGGCCAAUCAAACCGGGAGAUAGCUGGUUCUCCCCGAAAGCUAUUUAGGUAGCGCCUCGUGAAUUCAUCUCCGGGGGUAGAGCACUGUUUCGGCAAGGGGGUCAUCCCGACUUACCAACCCGAUGCAAACUGCGAAUACCGGAGAAUGUUAUCACGGGAGACACACGGCGGGUGCUAACGUCCGUCGUGAAGAGGGAAACAACCCAGACCGCCAGCUAAGGUCCCAAAGUCAUGGUUAAGUGGGAAACGAUGUGGGAAGGCCCAGACAGCCAGGAUGUUGGCUUAGAAGCAGCCAUCAUUUAAAGAAAGCGUAAUAGCUCACUGGUCGAGUCGGCCUGCGCGGAAGAUGUAACGGGGCUAAACCAUGCACCGAAGCUGCGGCAGCGACGCUGAUGCGUUGUUGGGUAGGGGAGCGUUCUGUAAGCCUG